rnacentral:rRNA from 1 species
CGCUAAUGAUAUGUGGAGUUGGUUGUAGCUGGUCCGCUGGAUUUUUUAAAUAAAUUCCUUUGGACAUGUGCACGCCUUCUCUUUCAUCCACACACACCUGUGCACCUGUGAGGCAGAUGUUGGGGGACUUUAUUGCACCCUCUCUGUCUACUUAAUUUACACAAACUCAAUUUAUUUUAAAACGAAUGUAAUUGAUGUAACGCAUCUAAUACUAAGUUUCAACAACGGAUCUCUUGGCUCUCGCAUCGAUGAAGAACGCAGCGAAAUGCGAUAAGUAAUGUGAAUUGCAGAAUUCAGUGAAUCAUCGAAUCUUUGAACGCACCUUGCGCUCCUUGGUAUUCCUUGGAGCAUGCCUGUUUGAGUAUCAUGAAAUCUUCAAAGUCAAUCUUUUUGUUAAUUCAAUGGGUGGUGCUUUGGUAUUGGAGGUCUUUUGCAGCUUCACACCUGCUCCUCUUUGUUCAUUAGCUGGAUCUCAGUGUUAUGCUGGGUCCCACUCGGCGUGAUAAGUUAUCUAUCGCUGAGGACACUUUCUAUAAAAAGGUGGGCCACGGUAAAUGCAGAUAAACCCGCUUCCCAUAGUCCAUAUUGCUUGUGACAAAAAUUAUUUUUAUGAUCUGAUCCCAAAUCAGGUGGGACUCCCCCGCUGAACUUAAGCAUAUCAUAAGGGGGGAGAGAGAA